rnacentral:rRNA from 1 species
AACGAACGCUGGCGGCAUGCCUAACACAUGCAAGUCGAACGAGACCUUCGGGUCUAGUGGCGCACGGGUGCGUAACGCGUGGGAACCUGCCCUUAGGUUCGGAAUAACUCCCCGAAAGGGGUGCUAAUACCGGAUAAUGUCUUCGGACCAAAGAUUUAUCGCCUUUGGAUGGGCCCGCGUUGGAUUAGCUAGUUGGUAGGGUAAAAGCCUACCAAGGCGACGAUCCAUAGCUGGUCUGAGAGGAUGAUCAGCCACACUGGGACUGAGACACGGCCCAGACUCCUACGGGAGGCAGCAGUGGGGAAUAGUGGACAAUGGGCGAAAGCCUGAUCCAGCAAUGCCGCGUGAGUGAUGAAGGCCUUAGGGUUGUAAAGCUCUUUUACCCGGGAUGAUAAUGAGAGUACCGGGAGAAUAAGCGCCGGCUAACUCCGUG